UGAUCCAGUAAUGCCGCUUGAGUGAUGAAGGCCUUCGGGUCGUAAAGCUCUUNUACCAGGAGAUGUAUAAUGACAGUANCCUGGAGAAUAAGCCCCGGCUAACUUCAUGCCAGCAGCCGCGGUAAUA
rnacentral:rRNA from 1 species